rnacentral:rRNA from 2 species
UAGAGAUGUGGAGGAACACCAGUGGCGAAGGCGACUCUCUGGUCUGUAACUGACGCUGAGGAGCGAAGCGUGGGGAGCGAACAGGAUUAGAUACCCUGGUAGUCCACGCCGUAAACGAUGAGUGCUAAGUGUUAGGGGGUUUCCGCCCCUUAGUGCUGCAGCUAACGCAUUAAGCACUCCGCCUGGGGAGUACGGUCGCAAGACUGAAACUCAAAGGAAUUGACGGGGGCCCGCACAAGCGGUGGAGCAUGUGGUUUAAUUCGAAGCAACGCGAAGAACCUUACCAGGUCUUGACAUCCUCUGACAACCCUAGAGAUAGGGCUUUCCCUUCGGGGACAGAGUGACAGGUGGUGCAUGGUUGUCGUCAGCUCGUGUCGUGAGAUGUUGGGUUAAGUCCCGCAACGAGCGCAACCCUUGAUCUUAGUUGCCAGCAUUCAGUUGGGCACUCUAAGGUGACUGCCGGUGACAAACCGGAGGAAGGUGGGGAUGACGUCAAAUCAUCAUGCCCCUUAUGACCUGGGCUACACACGUGCUACAAUGGACAGAACAAAGGGCUGCGAGACCGCAAGGUUUAGCCAAUCCCACAAAUCUGUUCUCAGUUCGGAUCGCAGUCUGCAACUCGACUGCGUGAAGCUGGAAUCGCUAGUAAUCGCGGAUCAGCAUGCCGCGAUGAAUACGUUCCCGGGCCUUGUA